rnacentral:rRNA from 1 species
AUACGUAGGUAGCAAGCGUUAUCCGGAAUUAUUGGGCGUAAAGAGUGAGCAGGCGGAGCGCCAGGUCCAGGGUCAAAUUCCGAGGCUCAACCUCGGACCGCCCCGGAAACCGGCGCCCUAGAGUGCGGGAGAGGCAAGGGGAACUCCGGGUGUAGCGGUGAAAUGCGCAGAUAUCCGGAAGAACACCAGCGGCGAAGGCGCCUUGCCAGCCCGAUACUGACGCUCAGUCACGAAAGCGUGGGUAGCAAAUAGGCUUAGAUACCCUAGUAGUCCACGCCGUAAACGAUGAGGACCGGAUGGCGGGCCAGAAGCCCGCCGUCGAAGCCAACGCGCUAAGUCCUCCGCCUGGGUACUACGUUCGCAAGAAUAAA